CUUUCAGCGCCUGCAGGUUCCGGGAGGUCAGCUCCCAGCCGAGGACGUCGGAUGUCAUCGUCCUUGCUGCUUUGCCACCCCAUUCCCGUCAAUAAAGUGGUUUGAACCCAA